CUCUCCCAUAUGGUCGACCUGCAGGCGGCCGCGAAUUCACUAGUGAUUAGAGUUUGAUCAUGGCUCAGAAUGAACGCUGGCGGCAGGCCUAACACAUGCAAGUCGAACGGAGUUAUAUUGUAGCUUGCUAUGGUAUAACUUAGUGGCAGACGGGUGAGUAAUGUAUAGGAAUCUACCUAGUAGUACGGAAUAAUUGUUGGAAACGGCAACUAAUACCGUAUACCACCCUACGGGGGAAAAAUUUAUUGCUAUUAGAUGAGCCUAUAUUAGAUUAGCUAGUUGGUGGAGUAAUAGCCUACCAAAGGCAAUGAUCUAUAGCUGAUCUGAGAGGGA
rnacentral:rRNA from 1 species